rnacentral:lncRNA from 10 species
UUUUACUGCAAAUGUGCGAACGAUCCAUCUACGAGCAAGAUGGAGUCUUGCUCUGUUGUCAGGCUGGAGUGCAGCGGCCACUGUUACCUCCGCCUCCCGGGUUCACGCGAUUCUCCUGCCUCAGCCUCCCAAGUAGCUGGGACUACAGGCCCAGCUCCAUGAUGAUGCCUCUCUCCAGAGACCUCCUGACCUCCUGACCUGCACAGCCCGGGAGACCACAGCCCACAGCCGCUGCCCCAGGUGUCCACAAGCAUCUCAGCCCCUCCACAGCCCACGCAUCUCCUCUUUCAUUGGCUCAUGGGGAGUGAAGGACAAUGUCUGAAUUAAAUGCCGUGCUUUAAACUGAAAGGGAAACUUAGCAAAUAAAUGAGAGUAACAACACUAGAUCAUUGGCCAGUGUGGUUGCAAUUCUUCCUUUCCCUCCAGAUUUCUGUUUAACCUUUAAAUCUCAUUUCGGCAUGCCUCUUGGUCCUCCUUGGAUUGAUAUUAAGUUGUACACAGGCUACUUCUUGUAAGACGAUGAGAACUCUUGCCGAUAUUUUACAACGUCUUACUCUGAACUUUCCCCUAUUCUUUCUGCCUAGAUGCAUUAUUUUCAGGAAAUCUAUGUUGUAAGACAGAGGUAGGCAAACCAGGGUUGCGGGCCAAGUCCUUCCCACAGCCUGUUUUUGUAAAUAAAGUUUUAUUGGAAUGCAGCCAAGCUUGUUCAUUUACACAUCAUCUAUGGCUGCUUCUGUCCUGCCAUAGCACUGUUGAGUAGUUGCGACAGAGACCACGUGACCUGCAAAGCCCAAAAUAUUUACUAUCUGACCCAUUACAGAAAACGUUGCCAAUAUCCUGUCGUAAGAUAUGCUGAAAUGUUUAAUUCUUUGAGGACUGGGGCACAAAAUUAUGUAUUUUUUUAAUCCACCAUGCUAAAAGAAGGAAAAUUCAUUUACUGUAAUAUGUCCUG